rnacentral:misc_RNA from 1 species
GCAGCAAACAUCAAUUUUCACCUACAAACAUAUUUGCACAGUUCAAUAAUAUCAGAAUCAUAUCUUUUCAAGCUAAAUGCUAUUACUUAAGGAAAAACAGGGUCAAAAUUAUGGCUCACAAUAUUCAUUCCAACAUCAUCAAUUUGGUUGCCAAGAAAAUAUUAUACUUUGAGGACACCUGGCACCCAAAGCACCACACCCCCCCAAGAAUGCAACACCAUUGAAUUACCAAAAUUUUUGAUAUAGAAAUUUAUAUGUUCACCGAUCCAAAUGCUUCAUCAAACAAGUUUAAGCUACAUGCCACAUGAUGAAGCAAUGAAUAAAAUUUGUCAAAAUUACUUGAAAGAAGCAUAAGCUCAGAGUAAGCAAGGAUUUAAACAUUUUGUUGCAUGACUGCCCAUAUUCAUCUCACUGCCAUUAUUUUCUUAAGAUGGCGCAUGCUUUAAAAUUUCUUUCUUGCACCAAGAGUUGUCUGGACAAUUCUUACAACAUCUUUCUGAUAAUAUUUCAUUUUGAUUCAUCAUAAACAAUUUUCCUUAACAAAAAAAUAAUAGUCUUCACUUAUAUCAGUUGCAUCCAUAAAACAUUGUGGUGAAGUCACAUCUCAACUAAAUAUCACAUUUCAUCAUUCAACACUUUCACAUUCUCAUACUGUCAUCGAAUAUAACAUCCUUUUUUACAAGCAAAUAAUUUACUGUUUCCCUCAACU